rnacentral:rRNA from 1 species
UACAGGGGGUGCAAACGUUGCUCGGAAUUAUUGGGCGUAAAGCGCGCGUAGGCGGCUACUUAAGUCGGAUGUGAAAGCCCUUGGCUCAACUGAGGAAGUGCACCCGAAACUGAGUAGCUGGAGUACGAAAGAGGGUCGCGGAAUUCCCGGUGUAGAGGUGAAAUUCGUAGAUAUCCGGAGGAACACCGGUGGCGAAGGCGGCUUCCUGGACCGACACUGACGCUGAGGCGCGAAAGCUAGGGGAGCAAACGGG